rnacentral:rRNA from 1 species
UACGUAGGCAGCGAGCGUUGUUCGGAGUUACUGGGCGUAAAGGGUGUGUAGGCGGUUAUUUAAGUUUGGUGUGAAAUCUCCCGGCUCAACCGGGAGGGUGCGCCGAAUACUGAAUGACUUGGAGUGCGGGAGAGGUGAGUGGAAUUCCUGGUGUAGCGGUGAAAUGCGCAGAUAUCAGGAGGAACACCGGUGGCGAAGGCGGGUCUCUGGGCCGGCCCUGACACGUGAGACGCGAAGGCGUGGGGAGCGAACGGG